GUGGGGAAUUUUGGACAAUGGGGGCAACCCUGAUCCAGCCAUGCCGCGUGCGGGAAGAAGGCCUUCGGGUUGUAAACCGCUUUUGUUCGGGAAGAAAUCCUCUGGGCUAAUACCCCGGGGGGAUGACGGUACCGGAAGAAUAAGCACCGGCUAACUACGUGCCAGCAGCCGCGGUAAUACGUAGGGUGCGAGCGUUAAUCGGAAUUACUGGGCGUAAAGCGUGCGCAGGCGGUUGUGCAAGACAGAUGUGAAAUCCCCGGGCUUAACCUGGGAACUGCAUUUGUGACUGCACGGCUAGAGUGCGGCAGAGGGGAGUGGAAUUCCGCGUGUAGCAGUGAAAUGCGUAGAUAUGCGGAGGAACACCGAUGGCGAAGGCAGCUCCCUGGGCCUGCACUGACGCUCAUGCACGAAAGCGUGGGGAGCAAACAGGAUUAGAAACCCUAGUAGUCC
rnacentral:rRNA from 1 species